AUUAGAACUUAGAAUGUUGAAUCCAACAGUUCCCAACAAUCCCAACGGAUCACUAAACUGAAGCAACGUUCCGCGUGGUUAGAAUCCGGAUGGGUAACCACCAGGACAAUCGCGUGCUGCUAAAU
rnacentral:rRNA from 1 species